GACAGAGGAUGCAAGCGUUAUCCGGAAUUAUUGGGCGUAAAGAGCCUGUAGGCGGUUUGUCGCGUCUGCCGUGAAAAUUCGAGGCUCAACCUCGAACUUGCGGUGGGUACGGGCAGACUAGAGUGUGGUAGGGGAGACUGGAAUUCCUGGUGUAGCGGUGGAAAUGCGCAGAUAUCAGGAGGAACACCGAUGGCGAAGGCAGGUCUCUGGGCCACUACUGACGCUGAGAAGCGAAAGCUGGGGAGCGAACAGG
rnacentral:rRNA from 1 species